GCCGCGCGACAAGCUGGGACGGCUCGCGCUGGUCGGGCUGGCGAACAUCGGCGUGUUCUUCGCGCUGCUGUUCGUGGCGGCGGCGCGGCU
rnacentral:tRNA from 1 species